UUAAAAAGCUCGUAGUUGAAUUUCGGAGUUUGUCGGUUGGUCGGGCUUCACUGUCCGCACUGACCUGAUGGAUUCCUACCUUCUGAAUAACCAGCAUGCUAUUAAGUUAGUGCGUUGGGGAAGCAGAGCUAUUACCUUGAAAAAAUUAGAGUGCUUAAAGCAGGCUUAUGCUUGAAUAGAUUAGCAUGGAAUAAUAAAAUAGGACGGCAUGGUUCUAUUUUGUUGGUUUCUAGGAUCACCGUAAUGAUUAAUAGGGAUAGUUGGGGG
rnacentral:rRNA from 1 species